UCGAGGGUAGGUCAGUGGUUUAGUGUGCUUGACUGGGGAUCAAAAGAUUGUGAGUUCAAGUCCUGGCCACAGCCUUCGCG